rnacentral:SRP_RNA from 1 species
GCCGGGCGCGGUGGCGUAUGCCUGUAGUCCUAGCUACCAGGGAGACUGAGGUUGGAGGAUCGCUUGAGUCUAGGAGUUCUGGACUGCUGUGCGCUAUGCCGAUCGGGUGUCUGCACUAAGCUCGGCAUCAAUAUGGUGACCUCCCAGGAGAGGGGGACCAUCAGGUUGCCUAAGGAGGGGUGAACCAGCCCAGGUCGGAAAAAAUAAAAAGUCUGUGCAAGCCGGGUUGAGUGGCUCAGCCUGUAAUCCCAGCGCUUUGGGAGGCUGAGGUGAGUGAAUUGCGU